UCAUAUGGAUGAGCAAAGAAAGUGGUUUCUUGAGAUGGAAUCUGCUCCUGGUGAAGAUGUUGUAAA
rnacentral:pre_miRNA from 2 species